AGAUUGAACGCUGGCGGCAGGCCUAACACAUGCAAGUCGAGCGGUAGAGAGGUGCUUGCACCUCUUGAGAGCGGCGGACGGGUGAGUAAUGCCUAGGAAUCUGCCUAGUGGUGGGGGAUAACGUUCGGAAACGGACGCUAAUACCGCAUACGUCCUACGGGAGAAAGCGGGGGACCUUCGGGCCUCGCGCCAUUAGAUGAGCCUAGGUCGGAUUAGCUAGUUGGUGAGGUAAUGGCUCACCAAGGCGACGAUCCGUAACUGGUCUGAGAGGAUGAUCAGUCACACUGGAACUGAGACACGGUCCAGACUCCUACGGGAGGCAGCAGUGGGAAUAUUGGACAAUGGGCGAAAGCCUGAUCCAGCCAUGCCGCGUGUGUGAAGAAGGUCUUCGGAUUGUAAAGCACUUUAAGUUGGAGGAAGGUUGUAACUUAAUACGUUGCAACUUUGACGUUACCGACAGAAUAAGCACCGGCUAACUUCGCGCCAGCAGCCG
rnacentral:rRNA from 1 species